rfam:Salmo salar isolate Sally breed double haploid chromosome ssa26, whole genome shotgun sequence.
AUGACUCUCUACUGUAAGUCUCUCUGGAUAAGAGAGUCUGUUAAAUGACUCUCU